rnacentral:rRNA from 1 species
CCUUACUGCUCAGUAACACGUAGUCAAUCUACCGUAAAGCGGCGGAUACCCUUUGGAAACGAAGGCUAAACCGCCAUAGGUAAGGACAUCUGGAAGGAGUCCUUGCUGAAAGGUACGCAAAUUGCAGCGCAACCGCUUCACGAUGAGACUGCGGCGGAUCAGGCAGAUGGUGGGGUAAAGGCCCACCAUACCUAUAACCCGUAGGGGAUGUGGGAGCAAGAGCCCCGAGAAGGGCACUGAGACAAGGGCCCUAGCGCUACGGCGUGCAGCAGGCGCGCAAACUCCACAAUGCGCGGAAGCGUGAUGGGGGGAACCUGAGUGGUCGACAUAAGUCGACCUUUUGCCAAGUACAGCAAGCUUGGCGAAUAAGUGCUGGGCAAGACCGGUGGCAGCCGCCACGGUAAUACCGGCAGCACAAGUGGUAUCCACGAUUAUUGGGCUUAAAGCGCCCGUAGCUGGCCGAUGCCGUCUCGCGUGAAAUAUUGGCGCCCAACGUCAAUGCGUGCGCGGGAUACCCAUCGGCUAGGGAGUGGGUUGGGUUAGGAGUACUUAUUGGGGAGGGGCUAAAUCCUAUAAUCCUAUAAGGACUAACAGUGGCGAAGGCGCCUGACCAGAACACAUCCGACAGUGAGGGACGAAGGCUAGGAGAACGAAUCGGAUCAGAUAUGGAUUUCAAAUGUAUAAGAAGCUUGAUAUCCACUGAAUACCCGGGUAGCCCUAGCAGUAAAUGAUGCAGACUCUGGUGUUGCGUACAUCUUGAAUGUUCGCAGUACCGUAGCGUAAGCGUUAAGUCUGCCGCCUGGGGAGUACGGCCGCAAGGUUGAAACUUAAAGGAAUUGGCGGGGGAGCACAAGGGC